GUGGUGCAUUGGAGACUGAUGUGUUCCUGUCCUGUCUUUUCAUAAUACUAUUGCAGAUCGACAUAAAAGCCUAAAAGACAGCCGUGGUGUCGCUCUUCAUUUCUUGGUUCUCCUGUGGUGCAUAAGAAACCCGCUACAGAUUGGUGCCGUGACCCGGAUCAACAGAUCAGCUGCAGCAGAUCGCCGGGGGACCCCUAAACAGAACUGGAUCGACAUCACACGUUUAAAACAUUUGAGGGCAAGAACAACUUGUCAGGUGGUGCAUUGGAGACUGAUGUGUUCCUGUCCUGUCUUUUCAUAAUACUAUUGCAGAUCGACAUAAAAGCCUAAAAGACAGCCGUGGUGUCGCUCUUCAUUUCUUGGUUCUCCUGUGGUGCAUAAGAAACCCGCUACAGAUUGGUGCCGUGACCCGGAUCAACAGAUCAGCUGCAGCAGAUCGCCGGGGGACCCCUAAACAGAACUGGAUCGACAUCACACGUUUAAAACAUUUGAGGGCAAGAACAACUUGUCAGGUGGUGCAUUGGAGACUGAUGUGUUCCUGUCCUGUCUUUUCAUAAUACUAUUG
rnacentral:lncRNA from 1 species